UACGUAGGGUGCAAGCGUUGUCCGGAAUUAUUGGGCGUAAAGAGCUCGUAGGCGGUUUGUCACGUCUGCUGUGAAAACUCGGGGCUUAACCCCGAGCCUGCAGUGGAUACGGGCAGACUAGAGGUAGGUAGGGGAGAAUGGAAUUCCCGGUGUAGCGGUGAAAUGCGCAGAUAUCGGGAAGAACACCCGUGGCGAAGGCGGUUCUCUGGGACGGUACUGACGCUGAGACGCGAAAGCGUGGGGAGCGAACAGG
rnacentral:rRNA from 1 species